rnacentral:misc_RNA from 1 species
CUCAGAAGAAAUAAGGUGCGAAGGUGGAGCGAAAGUGAAAAUUUAAAAUUGUCAAUCUUUGCAGAUUCUCUCAUUUUUAUCUGACGUUUUUGCUUCUACCCUGUACACUCGUUUGACGCAAAAGCUUAGAAAAGUGCAUAAUUCAUCCAAAGGUUUACACGCGUGUCCGAAAGUUAUCAAAUAAAAUAUCUCAAGUCCGUCUGUGGAAAAUUUUUAUUCAAUAGAAUUUCGUAUUGCGAUAUUCAUAAUCGGAACAGUAGUGCAAUAUAAAAAAAUCGUAUAAGAGGAAAAUACAGUGCAAAUUGCUUGCGAGGAGAGCAAAAUAAAUCGGAAAAUUGUGAUAUUGUGAGAAUUUCCGUAUGAUCUGCCAGCGCCAAUGCCAAAGUUAACUGCUACGCCGGCUGACAACGAUAGCUCUCCACGAUAAAAAUCAUUCUCGCGUACGACUAUCUAGUUGGCGCAAGCGGCUGUGUUCUCCCUUUACUUUCGGGAAUAGUUGACGAAGAAACAAAACAAAACCUUUUAAGUAAAAAAAAGUAUUAAUUCAAGUGUUGAAGAAUAUUAAUUCUUAAGUGUUAACAAUUAUAAGAAACUCAGUAAGUUACAUUGACUAACUAGUAAAAUAUAAAAGUACACCAGGAGAUUGAACAACGAAAAUGCUGAUCAAAGAAUACCGCGUUACCUUGCCAUUAACUGUGGAAGAGUAUCAAGUUGCACAACUUUAUUCAGUUGCUGAGGCAUCGAAAAAUGAGACCGGCGGCGGCGAAGGCAUUGAAGUGCUAAAAAACGAACCAUUCGAUAAUUAUCCCCUAUUGGGUGGUAAAUACAAUGCCGGUCAGUAUACAUAUAAAAUCUAUCAUUUGGCAUCAAAAGUACCAGCAUUUAUAAGACUGUUGGCACCGAAGGGUUCCUUAGAAAUACAUGAAGAGGCAUGGAAUGCCUAUCCGUAUUGUCGAACGGUCAUAACGAAUCCCAAAUUUAUGAAAGAUGGUUUUAGAAUUACCAUAGAUUCGAUGCACGUGCGAGAUGAUGCGGGCAAUAUACCAAAUGUGCAUGAACUGCCACCUGAGAAACUUAAAACACGCGAAGUUGUUCACAUCGACAUUGCGAAUGAUACCGUCUUGCCUGCCGAUUACAAACCCACUGAGGAUCCAACCAAAUUCAAGUCAGAGAAAACUGGUCGUGGCCCCCUGGUGGGUCCAAAUUGGAAGAAAAACGUCGAUCCAGUGAUGACUUGCUACAAAUUGGUGACAUGCGAAUUUAAAUGGUUUGGAUUGCAGACAAGAAUAGAAAACUUUAUACAAAAGUCAGAGCGACGAUUAUUCACAAACUUCCAUCGUCAAGUGUUCUGUUGGAUGGAUCGCUGGCACGGUCUGACAAUGGAGGACAUACGCGCCAUUGAGGAGAAGGUUAAAGAGGAGCUUGAUCGGCAGCGUCAGGUGGGCGAGGUGCGGGGCAUGCGUGCUGAUAGUGAUUAAAGGAAAUAAUCAAAGCUUAAACAAAUUUAUGACAAAAGCAACCACAACAUAACAACACCAAACCUACAACAUCAACAAAUGCAAACAACAAACUCUACAACAAAUAGAAAUAGUAGAUACUAAACGUCUCCCUGACGAGAGAGCGUAAGUAAGGAAGUUGCAUUUUCGAAAUGGUGCAUCCCUUGGCUGUUUAACCAACCGGAAGCGCAGUGCUACAAAUUUGACAUCAUCAGUAGUUGUUCCGUUAUUUUUUUUUUAUCAUGCAGUACAUACAUAAAUGUGUACAUAUUGUCUAUACUCACAGCCAAAUGCCGUUAUUUAAAAGCGGAGACUUCAGCAGGCGCAAGUUAUUUGAAAGGAAACGCAUAUUUAAUGGUGAACUUAAAGCAGUAGUUUAAAUUUAAUGUGCACUCUUAAUUUGUGUGAGAAUAGCUUACAUUAUAAUUUGCUUUUGAAAUUACAUUUAGCUUAGUUAAGCAUACAACAGAAACGUAUUGAUAAUUAAACCAACCACAAGCAACAGAAAUACACU